GGCCUGCUAAAAAUUUGAAGAAAUGAGCCAAGGCGAGGGAUGUCAUGCGAUUAAUUAUGUCAACAAGGAAAAACCAUUGAAGAGCUCGCAGAAUAAUGGGUACUCCGUUUGCCAAAACAGAGACCAACUGAAGAUAUCAAUAGUUUUAUAGACUUCUUGAGAACUUGGCCUCGUUUAGGAAUCCAGCGAGGAGCUAUCCCUGGCUGAGGAGGUGGGUUUCCAUGUUGGAAAGG
rnacentral:misc_RNA from 1 species